rnacentral:rRNA from 1 species
GCAAGUCGAACGCGAACGUCUCUUCGGAGGCUAGUAGAGUGGCGAACGGGUGAGUAACACGUGGAUAACCUGCCUAAAUGUGGGGGACAACUUUUGGAAACGGAAGCUAAUACCGCAUACGCUCGAGGAUCGCAUGAUCCUCGCGGAAAGACCGCCUCUUCUUGAAAGCGGUUGCAUUUAGAGGGAUCCGCGGCUGAUUAGCUGGUUGGUGGGGUAACGGCCUACCAAGGCGACGAUCAGUAGCCGGCCUGAGAGGGCGAUC